rnacentral:lncRNA from 1 species
AAGACAUGAUUAGUAAAUAUGAAGAUACAUGUUGGACUUGGACUUGACUUAGGGGAAAACGUGAUAACGAUCGGCAUAUGUUAAACUACCUGAUUUAGCCCUAGGGGCCAUUGUAUGAUUUUAUACUGUUGCAGUAUUAUCAUAGUGAAUAUUCCAGAUAGUUUAGUUUUCAGUUACGCUCGUGCUGGGAUGCCGAGUGUAUUUUUACAGUAGUGUUCAAGCUGUUCCGGACUGCUGGGUGCCGUCGAGGUUGACGGUGGACCCGUAUCGCCUUUUUGGCAUCGGAUGGUGCCGAGGGCACGUUACCUGUUGGUUGUUAGACCAGUUUGAGUCGGUUACUUGACUUUGGCUUUUGAGAGCCUGAUUGAGCUCGACAGAGAUAUGCUGCAUACUCGGUUGGGUAGCUCCCACGAGUGCCACUCCGGAGACGAGCGCUGUGCUUUCGCGUUGGUGUCGCUCAUGCCGGUUGGACUUGCUCUCCACGCACUAGUAGUGUGGAGAUAGCUGGAUAGUCACAACUGGGCAGGGACGGGUGUGUUCACAGUCCCAGGGACGGGUAUGCCUACAGUCCCGAUUGGAUUGGGUCAGAUUUGAUAUUUUCCUACAGUUGGUUAGUGUAGAGCAUGAUAGUGUAGUGAUCCAUAGCGGUA